AUGACUACCCGCUUCUCUCACAUCAUCAGAGAUCAUUCCCUACAUUUUAUUGGCAUUCAAGAAACUAAGAAGAAGAAUUUUAGUCCUAAACACUUAAGGAAAACUGACCCCUUUGACAAAUUUAGUUGGAACUGGAUCCCUUCAACUGGCAAAUCGGGUGAAAUUUUGUGUGCGAUCAAAAAACAAUCCAUGGAAAUUAUUUCCUGGUCAGUAGGUAACUAUUUGUUACAUGCUACGAUGUUUGAUGUGAAUCUCAAAUGUGUUUCGAACCUUGUAGUGGUUUAUGGGGCAGCCCAUGAUGAUAGAAAAGAUGAUUUCCUCACGGAGUUAGCCUCGUUUUGUGCUAAUAUUUGAAUUCCCUAUGUGAUUGGUGGUGUCUUUAAUAUCCUGUGGGAGAGUAGUGACAAGAAUAAAAACUUAACCCACUCCCAAUACAUAGAUAGAUUUAAUUCUACCAUCCACUCUCUGAAUCUUUGAGAGAUUCACAUGGGAGGGGGGAGGUACACCUGGACCAAUAAAGAUAAACCUACUCUAGAGAAACUAGAUAGAGUUCUCAUGAGUUUUGAUUGGGAAGAUCUAUUUCCACUAGUUGUUGUUCGCAAGCUAUUGAUAGACCUCUCAGACCACAAUCCCUUGAUGUUAUCCUCGAACCCAGUGAAAAAAGCCCCCUACAUCAUCGUGACUUUAGGUUUGAGUUGA
rnacentral:rRNA from 1 species